AUUGAACGCUGGCGGCAGGCCUAACACAUGCAAGUCGAGCGCGCGGCGCACGGGUGUGUAAUGUCUGGGAAACUGCCUGAUGGAGCGGGAUAACUCCUGGAAACGGUAGCUAAUACCCCAUACCAUCAGAUGUGCCCCGGUGGGAUUAGCUAGUAGGUGGGGUAACGGCUCACCUAGGCGACGAUCCCCAGCUGGUCUGAGAGGAUGACCAGCCACACUGGAACUGAGACACGGUCCAGACUCCUACGGGAGGCAGCAGUGGGGAAUAUUGGACAAUGGGCGCAAGCCUGAUGCAGCCAUGCCGCGUGUGUGAAGAAGGCCUUCGGGUUGUAAAGCACUUUCGGCGGGGAAGCGUUACCCGCAGAAGAAGCACCGGCUAACUCCGUGCCAGCAGCCGCGGUAAUUC
rnacentral:rRNA from 1 species